GGCCAAGUUUUUAAGGGCGCACGGUGGAUGCCUUGGCACCAGGAACCGAUGAAGGACGUGGGAGGCCACGAUAGUCCCCGGGGAGUCGUCAACCAGGCUUUGAUCCGGGGGUUUCCGAAUGGGGAAACCCGGCAGUCGUCAUGGGCUGUCACCCUUGCCUGAACACAUAGGGCAAGUGGAGGGAACGCGGGGAAGUGAAACAUCUCAGUACCCGCAGGAAGAGAAAACAACCGUGAUUCCGGGAGUAGUGGCGAGCGAAACCGGAUGAGGCCAAACCGUAUGCGUGUGAGACCCGGCAGGGGUUGCGUAUACGGGGUUGUGGGAUCUCUCUUUUACAGUCUGCCGGCUGUGAGACGAGUCAGAAACCGUUGAUGUAGGCGAAGGACAUGCGAAAGGUCCGGCGUAGAGGGUAAGACCCCCGUAGUCGAAACGUCAACGGCUCGUUUGAGAGACACCCAAGUAGCACGGGGCCCGAGAAAUCCCGUGUGAAUCUGGCGGGACCACCCGCUAAGCCUAAAUAUUCCCUGGUGACCGAUAGCGGAUAGUACCGUGAGGGAAUGGUGAAAAGUACCGCGGGAGCGGAGUGAAAUAGUACCUGAAACCGUGUGCCUACAAGCCGUGGGAGCGUCGCGCAUCAAGUUUACUUGGUGCGUCGUGACUGCGUGCCUUUUGAAGAAUGAGCCUGCGAGUUUGCGGUGUGUUGCGAGGUUAACCCGUGUGGGGAAGCCGUAGCGAAAGCGAGUCCGAAUAGGGCGAUUCAGUAGCGCGCUCAAGACCCGAAGCGGAGUGAUCUAGCCAUGGGCAGGUUGAAGCGGAGGUAAGACUUCGUGGAGGACCGAACCCACCAGGGUUGAAAACCUGGGGGAUGACCUGUGGUUAGGGGUGAAAGGCCAAUCAAACUCCGUGAUAGCUGGUUCUCCCCGAAAUGCAUUUAGGUGCAGCGUCGUGUGUUUCUUGCCGGAGGUAGAGCACUGGAUAGGCGAUGGGCCCUACCGGGUUACUGACCUUAGCCAAACUCCGAAUGCCGGUAAGUGAGAGCACGGCAGUGAGACUGUGGGGGAUAAGCUCCAUGGUCGAGAGGGAAACAGCCCAGAGCAUCGACUAAGGCCCCUAAGCGUACGCUAAGUGGGAAAGGAUGUGGAGUCGCAGAGACAACCAGGAGGUUGGCUUAGAAGCAGCCACCCUUGAAAGAGUGCGUAAUAGCUCACUGGUCUAGUGAUUCCGCGCCGACAAUGUAGCGGGGCUCAAGCGUACCGCCGAAGUCGUGUCAUUCCAGCAAUAGCCCCAACGGGUGCUGGGAUGGGUAGGGGAGCGUCGUGUGCCGGGUGAAGCUGCAGCGGAAGCUAGUGGUGGACGGUUCACGAGUGAGAAUGCAGGCAUGAGUAGCGAUACACACGUGAGAAACGUGUGCGCCGAUUGACUAAGGGUUCCUGGGUCAAGCUGAUCUGCCCAGGGUAAGUCGGGACCUAAGGCGAGGCCGACAGGCGUAGUCGAUGGAUAACCGGUUGAUAUUCCGGUACCCGCUGUGAAGCGUCAAACAUCGAGCAUCGUGAUGCUAAGGCCGUGAAGCCGUUCCGGACCCUUCGGGGAAUGGAAAGUGGUGGAGCCGCCGGCCCAAGCGGUUAGUAGGUGAGUGAUGGGGUGACGCAGGAAGGUAGUCCAUCCCGGGCGGUGGUUGUCCCGGGGUAAGGGUGUAGGACGAGUGGUAGGCAAAUCCGCCAUUCAUUAAGUCUGAGACCUGAUGCCGAGCCGAUUGUGGUGAAGUGGAUGAUCCUAUGCUGUCGAGAAAAGCCUCUAGCGAGUUUCAUGGCGGCCCGUACCCUAAACCGACUCAGGUGGUCAGGUAGAGAAUACCGAGGCGUUCGGGUGAACUAUGGUUAAGGAACUCGGCAAAAUGCCCCCGUAACUUCGGGAGAAGGGGGGCCAUCACUGGUGAGGAGACUUGCUCUCCGAGCUGGGGGUGGCCGCAGAGACCAGCGAGAAGCGACUGUUUACUAAAAACACAGGUCCGUGCGAAGCCGUAAGGCGAUGUAUACGGACUGACGCCUGCCCGGUGCUGGAACGUUAAGGGGACCGGUUAGUCACUCUUCGGGGUGGCGAAGCUGAGAACUUAAGCGCCAGUAAACGGCGGUGGUAACUAUAACCAUCCUAAGGUAGCGAAAUUCCUUGUCGGGUAAGUUCCGACCUGCACGAAUGGCGUAACGACUUCUCGACUGUCUCAACCAUAGGCCCGGUGAAAUUGCACUACGAGUAAAGAUGCUCGUUUCGCGCAGCAGGACGGAAAGACCCCGGGACCUUUACUACAGUUUGAUAUUGGUGUUCGGUUCGGCUUGUGUAGGAUAGCUGGGAGACUGUGAACUCUGGACGCCAGUUCAGGGGGAGUCGUCGUUGAAAUACCAGUCUGGUCGUGCUGGAUGUCUAACCUGGGUCCGUGAUCCGGAUCAGGGACAGUGUCUGAUGGGUAGUUUAACUGGGGCGGUUGCCUCCUAAAGAGUAACGGAGGCGCCCAAAGGUUCCCUCAGCCUGGUUGGCAAUCAGGUGUUGAGUGUAAGUGCACAAGGGAGCUUGACUGUGAGACCGACGGGUCGAGCAGGGACGAAAGUCGGGACUAGUGAUCCGGCGGUGGCUUGUGGAAGCGCCGUCGCUCAACGGAUAAAAGGUACCCCGGGGAUAACAGGCUGAUCUUCCCCAAGAGUCCAUAUCGACGGGAUGGUUUGGCACCUCGAUGUCGGCUCGUCGCAUCCUGGGGCUGGAGUCGGUCCCAAGGGUUGGGCUGUUCGCCCAUUAAAGCGGUACGCGAGCUGGGUUUAGAACGUCGUGAGACAGUUCGGUCCCUAUCCGCUGCGCGCGCAGGAACAUUGAGAAGGGCUGUCCCUAGUACGAGAGGACCGGGACGGACGAACCUCUGGUGUGCCAGUUGUUCUGCCAAGGGCAUGGCUGGUUGGCUACGUUCGGGAGGGAUAACCGCUGAAAGCAUCUAAGCGGGAAGCCUGCUUCGAGAUGAGUGUUCCCACCCCCUUGAGGGGUUAAGGCUCCCAGUAGACGACUGGGUUGAUAGGCCGGAUCUGGAAGCCCAGUAAUGGGUGGAGGUGACCGGUACUAAUAGGCCGAGGGCUUGUCCUC
rnacentral:rRNA from 1 species